UAUACAGCGGCGCCCCAGGGAGGGCCGGGGCUCUGGGACCUGACUUUACCCUGCUGGCCUGGUAACGCCCUGGGUUACUCGGAUGGAAUAUUCUUUGGGGAGGCCUGGUGGCCAUUUGGGAGCGGUGCUAAGGUCCCCUGUGCCUGAGCUGGAGGACGGAGACCUGAGAGGCCUGCAAACGCAACCAAGAGUCUGGCAAAUUAAAUCCUCAGCGUAAAGGUCCGGGCAGUCUCGCGCAUCGCUGGUGGGGGCACGCGGGGAUGUGGCCACUUUGUACCCGCAUCAGCGUGUCUGCCCGAGCUGAGCGGACUCCCGGCCCAGGACCCAGCAAUGCCACGGGACCCCUUCGUGUGCUCAUCGGAGGACGUGGGCUAGGACGUUCGCUGCUACGCCGUCCGUAACCUCCGAAAGCGGAAAAGGCCCCAACGUCCGGCAGAACUUCGGAAGGGUUGCUUGAGGCCUUGCGGAGGCUGGGAACGUUCUGCGUCCUGACCCCGGGCCCCCAGGAUUUCUGCAUCUGCCUGGAUGGAUGUUACAUCUCAGCCUAAAAGUGCCCUGUCUUGUAAGGGUGUGAUGCUUGGAGCUGCGGCAGCCGUUUUGUGCCCACGAGGAGCACCAUCUCCAGUGCCGGGGUGACCACAAGUCUGGAUGUGACUCCCGGGAUGCAGGAUUUCCAGCACUAAAAUUGGAAAAGUCCUGGGCAACAGGAUAAUUAGUCGCCCUAACCUGGUGACAUGAAAGGGCAGAAGGAACUGGCCCUUUGCCAACAUCCUUGAAGGGCCAACCAGCUCUGGAAACCCCUAACCGCUGGAUUUUUCUGUUAUAUAUAAACAACGAAUAUCGUCAUGGUUUAA